UGGGGCAAGUGAAGAUGCUAGCCAUCGCGUUGGACCUGAUGACAGAGAACCCCUUCUUCCCCGUUAGUUAUUAUAGGAUUGGUUUCUGGAGAAACAUCGUUGGCUGGUCGGUAUAGAUAGUUUGGGUUUUGGGUCAUUCUCUCGAUAUUUAAUACCUCAGCAUGCUGAGAAGAUUCUUUUCACCCUCCAGAUAUAGGUACACAAUUCUCUUCAAUGAGAAUUUACUAUAGCCCUUUUUUAUAGUAUAUGAUGAGAGCUCAGGAACCACAGACGUUAAAGUUGAGUUCUGGAUGACUGCGUUAUCAUCCGCUUUUGUAUAGAGUUUAGCUCAUUACCCUUGACGUUAUUAUCGCGUGCAGAGUAUGCUCUGCAUGCACAUCAUUCUCUGUAAAUCUGG
rnacentral:misc_RNA from 1 species